rnacentral:lncRNA from 1 species
AAAGUAAAACCCACACCUAAAUUAAAGUUACAAUUCCAACUACUGUCACAAAAAGUUUUACCCCUGAACAAAAUAGUUUAGUAUUUUAUAAAAUUCAAAAGGCAUUUAUUUAAUUGUUUUAGCUACUAUUUUAUUCAUUUUAGAUUAUUUAAAAAUCUUACAAAAGUGUGGUUUCUCCACCAUAAUUACCUAUGCAUCAUUUGUCUCCACCCGAACAUUUAGUUUUAAUAUUUGAAAACUUUUAUUGUUUGACUUUAUUUUAAAUUUGAAAUUUGAACUGACGCGAGUUUAUCAACAGUAACCGAGGUGACGCGUUAUCAUUAGCGGAGGUUCACUGUAGCUUAAUUAUCCGGGCAUCACAAUUCUCCUCCACUACAAGAAAUCCCGUCCCGAGAUUUAAGAGGUAGAGUAGGGGGAAAGUCUGGUUACGAAAUGCUAACAGAUCUUCUCGGUCUUGGCUGCUCUUCUCGAAGAAGUUAAUCCCUUUCGUUGAUGUCGUCAAUUCUCUAUUUCAGGUCAUCAUGAUGAAGUCGGUAUCCUUUCUUCGGGAACUCCAUCAUACUUACAAAAGAAUAAGGGGUGUAUCCCGUAAGAACGGGUCUGCAUUAGGGCAUGAAAGGGGUUGAGAUCAGCGGGAAUAAGUAUUGUGUCUGGUACCAGAAUUGAUGAUCUCUCGGGAGGUGGCUCGUGAAUUACUUAUGAGGCCACGCGCGAGGAAUAACUUUGGGAACAGGGGUUGUACAUGAGAGCCAGGUUUUGAUCCUGUGGAACUGUGGGUUAUGGGCCCACCAUGUGGGUUAAAAGUAGGAAGGGCGGUGACAUCUUGCACGAUUAUGUAAGCAAGGCAUGUCAGAGGUAGUCUGUCGGUUAUGUCGGCAACAACAUCGGUACCAAGGGCGAGAGACGAAGAGAACCAUUUUCCUGCUCGUUGAACGAGGCGGAUAGUAGGCAAAGUUCUCGUCCAUCGGUGGUUACCGGAAUGUCAUCAACAAAAGCAACAGGGUCUUUCUGACAGAAUUGUGCACCGAGUUAGUUACAUAAGCAGGGAAUUGUUACUGCUUAGAUCAUAUUGAUCGCAAGAAAGGUUAAAGAAAACAAUGGAAAGGAAAAUGUGUUUAAACAUAUAUUUCAGGGGUAUAUCCUUUCCAAGGAUAAGCAGAGCAUGAUAUCCAUGACAGGAUAGUAAGUAGAAAACCAUUUAGGUAAGGGGAGAGGAUUUCAUGACAUAGCCCAAACAACGGUAUUUGGAUAAUGGACAGAGAAAAUUUAGCAUUGUUCUUCAAAUGCUCUUAUUGAAAAUCGGAGUACCACAGACAUGCUUCGAGGUAGCAUUGCCAUGGUCUUCAAGCAAAGGUCAGACUCUGGAUACACGAAGGGAUUCAUCAUUAAGCCAAGGAGAGGAUGAGGAGGUGGCUGAUGGACUUAGCGAUAAUUCAACGGGGUAUCCAAAAAGAUGGAUUUCCAUAGUUAUGUGAACAAGGAGAUAACAUUUGUCGGAUCAAAUGAUAUAAUGAUGUAUGCUCAAGGAAAACAUACACAAUUAAUCAUUGGUUGAAAGGUGUACCCAAAAUAGGGGCUGGGUUGCACAACCAACGUCGGAAUGGCGAUUGAGCAACCAACACACUAAAUUGGAAUUAUUGUCCAUUAACUCUGAAGCAAUAGGGUAGCUAGAGAUAAUAAAUUCGCACAAUAGAGUUCACUCAACACGGGGACUAAGAAAAGAAUGGUGAUGGCGAGAUGCAUCACUGUACCAAGAAUUUUUAAGAGGUGGUGAAAUUCUCACCACAUUCUUGACAUAAAAGAUGGUAAUAUUCCAAAGUAAUUAAGAACAGUUGCUGGAUAGCAAGGAACUCAAGGUAUAACACAAAACACGAACAAGUUUGUAUUGGAGGGGAGGCAUUAAAGUGGUCGAUAAAAACACAAAUCAUCGAGGGCAAGGACGGUAUUUCUCAUCAUGAAUUCAAUUGAUAUCCAGGAAGAGCUCAGAAUGUUGAUGAUGAUCAUGACAGAUUCUGUCGAGAGGUUUCCUGGAGAUGUAAUCGAUCAGCGAUGACAUCAAGUCAAAGGAAUGAUGAAGCGAAAUGAUCUUGGGACCAUGAGUAGGACACAAACUCGAAUUCAAGCUUGUUGUUCAAGGUGGAACGAUAAGACAAGGAAGAUCGACGUAAGCUUAGCUCGUCACCAAAAGUUGUGCUCUGGGAAUAAGGACCAGGUAGCACAGUUAAAAUUUAGCACUUUAAUGAUAUAGCCGAUCAGGCUAGGAAUGACUUGAAGGAUUAAUAAACUCAUAAGCAACGGAGAUUACUUAGAGCUAUUGAAUCAGAGUGCGAAAUUGAUUCACUUAUCAGUGUCCUUGAGUGUCUAAUAACUCAUAACCCGGGGAAAAUUGGAAUCGGUGAGAAAUAAUACUUGAAGAACUCAUAAGAAGUAAUAUGGUUUUGUGCUAUUAUCGAGAUACCAAGGGGUAAUACUCGAAGGUAGAUCAUAAUAUAGGUUGGACGGGUGCAUUGAUCUGCAGAGGACAAGUGGUUCAACUUGUCCGAGAAAAGGAUCAAAGAUGAUCAAUCAUGGUCGGUACCAUGGUCGCAAAGGACCAACAUAGAUACAAGAUGAACUUAUAACAAGGGGACCAUUAUUAAUACAAGAAGCUUUCAUGAUAGAUUCCACAUCGGGUCCAUGGGCAUGAACACAAAGUUCAAGGUCGACUCCCACUUCUCCAAAGCAGAACCUUACAUUCACUUCUCAUUUUGAUAAUGGUAUUAGUGUUGACAGUUUUACCUGGUGAAAUACCAGAUGAGUAUGGCCCGUGAAAUCUUUCAGGCUCACAUAGAUUAGUUAAGGCAUUGGUUCAACCCAUCGAGGCGUCUUAGGAACAUAUACCACAAAUUUUUAGAAGUAAUUAACACAAGCUCGAAAGUAGAGCAUGGUUCACAAAAACAGGGGAUACAAUUUACCAAAGGCAUUACGUAUCAGGGAAAGAACUUCCAAAGUGAUUGAAUAUGAAGGACGUUGUCGGAUAAAAUCCAACAAGGUUCUGAUGGUCCAUAAAGGAUCUGAUGUGAGUAUCGGCUCACAACCAGAGGAAGAAUCAAUGCAAAGACAUUGGAUUAUAGAAACAACUGAGUAACUUGGAGCUCAAUUGCAAAGGAAUUAUGAUUUACAAAGCGAAGGAUCAGAAGCAGACGCUCCGAUCAAGGAUGGAUAAGUUCAAUAUACUUAGGGGCACAAUCGACGUCAAUUUGAUUGGCGAGAACCAGCCCACGUUUGAAAUGACGUCUGAGCCGGAAGGAUGAAUUCUAGGAUAUGACUGAGGAUUGAGAGCAUUCACAUCAUAUUGGAUCAACAGACUUAAAAUGAUAAUGACAAAGGAUGCCAAUAAGAUUACCAGACUUAUAGGAUUUAAUCCCAAUGCAAGCAACCAAGAAUUUCAAGAGCAAUAGGUUGUUGAGGAUCUUCAGAAGAUCAGAUAGUAUUUAAGAGUAUCUUAUGAAGCAUACGAACAACUGGGAUGAACAGAUACUCGAUAAGUGCGAGGAAUUAUCCGUAGGGGGUAUUCAUGCGGUAAAGAACUACAAGGCAGUAAACUCAAAGGAUUGUCGAAACAGUAUAGAGAAUUUCGAGGUAUCUUGUAAUAACAAGAUCAAUGGGGAAUCAUUGAAUGAAUGGAAAGUGUACGUGGUUAUCCAUAGGGUUUAUCGAUGGAAGGGAAUUGCAAAAUCGAUGGCACAAAGUCUCAGGAGAACAUCGGAGAGUAUUGUCAAAAUCUUCUGUUGAAGCAGUUGAUCAUCUGUAAUGAAGGGGCUCUCCGGCAGGAAGUGUAACGAGAACCUAAAGUUAGAUUUUAGCAAAAUCAUUUAACCCGAAUAGAAGGGAGAUCAGAGUUCCAGAGUAUAGACGAGGAACAAAAGAUCCUAAUACCACCCCAUGGCGACGUGGGCCCAUGGGCCGCACAGCCAUGUUAGUAAAACAGUUUUCAUCGACUAGACUCAACUUCGGCCAAGGAGUGUGGAAGAGGGAUUCCUACAGGCAGUCGGCUCUGAUACCAACUUGUGACGCCCCCGAUUCAAUCGUACACUAAUCAUACAUGCAAACGUGUACGAUCAAGAUCAGGGACUCACGGGAAGAUAUCACAACACAACUCUACAAAUAAAAUAAGUCAUACAAGCAUCAUAUUACAAGCCAGGGGCCUCGAGGGCUCGAAUACAAGAGCUCGAUCAUAGACGAGUCAGCGGAAGCAACAAUAUCUGAGUACAGACAUAAGUUAAACAAGUUUGCCUUAAGAAGGCUAACACAAACUAGGAUACAGAUCGAAAGAGGCGCAUGCCUCCUGCCUGGGAUCCUCCUAACUACUCCUGGUCGUCGUCAGCGGGCAGCAUGUAGUAGUAGGCACCUCCGGUGUAGUAGGAGUCGUCAUCGACGGUGGCGUCUGGAUCCUGGGCUCCAACAUCUGGUUGUGACAACCAGGUAGAAGGGAUAGAAGGAAAAGAAGGAGAAGCAACCGUGAGUACUCAUCCAAAGUACUCGCAAGCAAGGAGCUACACUACAUAUGCAUGGGUAUAUGUGUAAAGGCCAUAUCGGUGGACUGAACUGUAGAAAGCCAGAAUAAGAGGGGGAUAGCUAAUCCUGUCGAAGACUACGCUUCUGGUCACCUCCAGCUUGCAACAUGUAGAAGAGAGUAGACUGAAGUCCUCCAAGUAGCAUCGCAUAGCAUAACCCUAACCGAUGAUCCUCCCCUCGUCGCCCUGUGAGAGAGCGAUCACCGGUUGUAUCUAGCACUUGGAAGGGUGUGUUUUAUUAAGUAUCUGGUUCUAGUUGUCAUAAGGUCAAGGUACAACUCCAAGUCGUCCUGUUACCGAAGAUCACGGCUAUUCGAAUAGAUUAACUUUCCUGCAGGGGUGCACCACAUAACCCAAUACGCUCGAUCCCAUUUUGCCGGACACACUUUCCUGGGUCAUGCCCGGCCUCGGAAGAUCAACAUGUCGCAGCCCUACCUAGGCACAACAGAGAGGUCAGCAUGCCGGUCUAAAUCCUAUGGCGCAGGGGUCUGGGCCCAUCGCCCAUUGCACACCUGCACGUUGCGUACGCGGCCGAAGCAGAACUAGCCCCCUUAAUACAAGAGCAGGCUUACGGUCCAAUCCGGCGCGCGCCACUCAGUCGCUGACGUCACGAAGGCUUCGGCUGAUACCACAACGUCGAGUGCCCAUAACUGUCCCCGCGUAGAUGGUUAGUGCGUAUAGGCCAGUAGCCAGACUCAGAUCAAAUACCAAGAUCUCGUUAAACGUGUUAAGUAUCUGCGAACGCCGACCAGGGCCAGGCCCACCUCUCUCCUAGGUGGUCUCAACCUGCCCUGUCGCUCCGCCACAAAGUAACAGUCGGGGGCCGUCGGGAACCCAGGCCCACCUCUACCGGGAUGGAGCCACCUGCCCCUUCAGCCCCCAUCUCCGAACAGUAUCAUAAGUAAUGUAACUGUGUAAAGUAUAUAGUAUAUGCCCGUGAUCACCUCCCGAAGUGAUCACGGCCCAGUAGUAUAGCAUGGCAGACGGACAAGAGUGUAGAGCCACUAAUGGAACACUAGCAUCCUAUACUAAGCAGUAGGAUAGCAGGUAAUGGUAACAACAGUAGUAGCAAGGACAGGCUAUGCAUCAGGAUAGGAAUAACGGAAAGCAGUAACAUGCUACACUACUCUAAUGCAAGCAGUAUAGAGAAGAGUAGGCGAUAUCUGGUGAUCAAAGGGGGGGCUUGCCUGGUUGCUCUGGCCAGAGAGAGGGGUCGUCGAUGCAGUCGAUCACAGGGGUACCGGCAUCGGCCUUAGGGUCUACCGGAAAGAAGUAACAAAGGGGGAACACAAUAAAUAACAGAGCAAUCAAAUGUAACACAAAGCAAGACGCGGCAAUACGCGGUGCUAGGUAUGUCCUAACGCGGUAUUAUGUGAUACCGGCGAAAGGGGGAAACAUCCGGAAAAGUAUUACCGAUGUUUCACGUUUUCGGAUAGACGGACUGGACAGUGAAAGUUGCAUGUUCGCUAUGCUAGGGACGUGUGGCUGAUCAACAGACUAUGUAUUCGGAUCCGUCUCAUCGUUCUGAGCAACUUUCAUGUAUAAAGUAUUUUCAUCUGAACUACGGAUUAUUUUAUAUGAUUUUCCGAAGUUUAAAUGAUUUUCUAAAUUUUUUGGAUUUAAUUAUAUUUCGAAAUUAAAAGAGAAUAUACUAAGUGUACCCAUGGGUUUCCUAGUCUAUUGUGUGGCAAGUGGGGCCAGUGGGGCUGGGUUGAACCAGUCAACAUUUGACUGGUCAACACAUGAAUAGUAGAAGUGGAUCCCACAUGUCAUAGGCUAUACCUAAACAAAUAAAUAAAUACUAACCUAAUUAAUAGGGUCCUCAUGUCAUCUGCUAGUAGCUAACCUACAUACUAAUUAACCCUAAACUAAUUGAACAUGGGGCCGGCCUCACAAACACAGAACACACACGCACACACACAACUAGGGGUUAAUUGUGUUCUUUGUUAAUAGAAGAUAGCCUUUUGUGAUUUUCGUACGAUUUAAUCCGUUCAUCGAAAGGAUUUGGUCUAAUGGGAUAAAAUGAAUUUUGUCAAGUAUACUUUCUACUCAUAAUUUUUCUUGGCCUAUUAGUAAUUGUUUACCCGCUGAUUAGAGGCUGUCAAGGGGGUUAGUCAGCGUAAUAUUCACAAAGCUAGCCAUAGUUACAGUAGCAUUCAGCAGCAGCAGUACGUUCAGAGCAGCAGCAGUCAUCGGCAUGGCGCGGAGACGGCCAGGCAACGCCGCGCACGGCCGGAUUCGGCCCGGGCCGCGUUGCCGGAGCUAGAUGCAGGCGGAGGCGGCGGCAAAGGUUCCAGCGGACGCACGCAGGACUAGCAGGGGCGGCGGUAGCAUCGGCGAGCGCACGUGCAGGAAGCUCGAGUGGCGCGGGCGAGCAUGGCCAGGCAGAUGGGAGAGGCUGGCAGGUGCGUGUGACAGUGCAGCGCGGGCAGGGGAGCCUGGGGGCGUGGCCGGUGCGAGCGAACAGCGCCAGGCGCGGUGUCGCGCGCGUGGACGGCGAUGGCGGCCACGGCCGACGCGGUCAGGCGAGGCGGACGCACGGCAGCGGGUGAGCGGCGGUAGGCGGAGGCGAGGCCACGGGUGGGCACGCGCGGGAGCGCAGGCUGCAGUAGCGAACGAGCCUGCGCGACAGUAGCAGCAGUAGCGCAGCAGUGGAGGUGGUCGAAGCAAGAGGCCAUGAGGACUAACGGCGGCCAAAGUUCUGUGGGGAACGACGGCUAUAGGCAUGGGUCGAUCAGGGAAGAGCGGGAAUCGAGUGAGGACCUCACCGCGGUGUCGUAGGCGAGAUCGAGAAGGCCGGGGGUGGAGCGACGGCGAUGAAUUCGUCGAUGGUGUCGCGGUGGUUGGAGGUUGAAGACGACGUCGAUCCCUGCGAUCCAGGGGCUCCCGGCUCCAACUGGUGGACGUAGUCGAAGGAGUGGACGUCGGCGAAGCUCGCAAACGAGGUGGCUGGGCGCGGGGAGCUUGGUGGGCGCGUGGAUGUCGGAGGCCAUGGCGAUGCAGGUUCGGCCAAGGGUUGCAGGGACGAAAGCGGCACAGGGGAGGGGAAAAGGAGAGCUAGGGUUCGUCAACACGUCGAGGGGGAUCUUAUAGACCGUCCAGGAGCCAUGGAUGCACGACGCGUGGACGAUCCGUCCAUGGACGCACGAGCAACGGCCAGCACUCCCCUGAUGAACAGGGGUUGAAGAUGGGGAGCUGGUGGGCUGGGCCUGGUGGCCGGGAUGCCCGGUUGGGUCGAACAGCCCAGGGGGAAGGGGGCUUGGUUUCUUUUGUUUUGUUUUAUUCUUACCUUUGUUUUCUGUUUUCUUUUAUUUCUUUAAUAGUUUAUAGCUUUAAAAAAAGUAAAACCCACACCUAAAUUAAAGUUACAAUUCCAACUACUGUCACAAAAAGUUUUACCCCUGAACAGUAUUUUAUAAAAUUCAAAAGGCAUUUAUUUAAUUGUUUUAGCUACUAUUUUAUUCAUUUUAGAUUAUUUAAAAAUCUUACAAAAGUGUGGUUUCUCCACCAUAAUUACCUAUGCAUCAUUUGUCUCCACCCGAACAUUUAGUUUUAAUAUUUGAAAACUUUUAUUGUUUGACUUUAUAUUAAAUUUGAAAUUUGAACUGACGCGAGUUUAUCAACAGUAACCGAGGUGACGUGUUAUCAUUAGCGGAGGUUCACUGUAGCUUAAUUAUCCG